rnacentral:rRNA from 1 species
AUAUCAGUCAUGCAUAGCAUAUCAAUAAGCGGAGGAAAAGAAACUAACAAGGAUUCCCUUAGUAACGGCGAGUGAAGCGGGAAGAGCUCAAAUUUGAAAUCUUCAAGGUUUUACCUUGACGAAUUGUAGUUUAAAGAAGUGUUUUCUGUUGAAGUUUUGGUAAAAGUUCUUUGGAAUAGGACAUCAUAGAGGGUGAGAAUCCCGUAUUUGACCAUUACUUUCAGCUUUGUGAUACACUUCAAAGAGUCGGAUUGUUUGGGAAUGCAGUCCAAAAUGGGUGGUAAAUUUCAUCUAAAGCUAAAUAUUGGCGAGAGACCGAUAGCGAACAAGUACCGUGAGGGAAAGAUGAAAAGAACUUUGAAAAGAGAGUUAAACAGUACGUGAAAUUGUCAAAAGGGAAGCGUUUGACACCAGUGUUGUUUUCUCGAAAAUCAAUUAAAGAGAGUUGGAUUUUGUGUUGUAUUGACUUUAUCAGCUUUCUUCACUCUUUUCCAGCUUUUUUUAAUGCACUUUUCGUUUAACAAGUCAACAUCAGUUUCUUUUGUUGUAAAAAGGUCAUUGGAAGGUGGCUUUCUCUUCGGAGAAAGUGUUUAUAGCCUUUGACUCAUGCAAUCGGAGAGACUGAGGUCUGCAGCGUAGAUCCUUCGGGGUUAGAUACAUUUGUGCUAAGUUAUAGCUCUUCAUAGACAACUUGUUGACUAUGUUUAGUCUUGUAGCUUACUCGCUUAUGCUAUUUUACCUACGCUUAGGAUGUUGAACUCUAUCACACACAG